GAAAGAGGCUGCUGCAGAUGCUGCGGGACCUCUCUUCUCGGGCUUUAGUGGUUCUCGUUACGCUGUAAAACCGAACGGAAGAAAACCAAAUCGAGAUGACCCAAGGAAAAACCCAACCAAAGGAGAAAUGAGAGAAUAUUUCCGAUUUGAUUUAAACCAAGAGAUUGAGUAUGACGACACUGCACAAGAAUCCUCUGACGUACAAACCGAAGAAACCAGCUUCGCAACCCCUUGAGAAUUACUAUUUGUUGAGCGAAAAUUUUGAUGGGAGAAAACUUUCAGCAGACAAGAUGCUAUUUCAUUUCCACCCCUCCCAGUAAUAGACUCAUCCCAUAUGCACAUCUGUAUCAGACAAAUGAACCCUGAAGUUAAAACAGGAUCAACUGCCGAUUUUAAAACAUAUCCGAAUGAGUCAAAGUAGGAAUGAAUCUUCACUAUCAAUAUUUUCUGAGUUUGCGAUAUCGGUAUUCAUUGUGGAUUUUGCCUUUUCCACCUUACGACGGUGCAGUUCCAAUUUUUGCGCCUGUUAUUUCCUUUCUGGGUUGGUCAACGGAAUAGAUUUGAUCUUAUUUUGAUAAACACUUUGAACAUGUAUCUGACCUAGGGCGUCCGAAUUUGAGAUUUGGUAAGUCUUUUUUGACCACUAGUGAUUAAUACUUAUAAGUAACUACUGAAUUUGGAUUUUUUCCUUAUACGCCAAAAACAUGCAAUUGAGAUUUAAAUCUGGACGCAGGAAUUCUUUUAUCGAUGUGUGCCGGCUGUAGUGAUUUUGCUUUGGAUAUGAUCCCUAACUUGCUGCCGGAUUUCUGGCAAAUACUUUUUUAAUUUAGUUCUUUUACCACGUUUAUCUGUGUAAGUAGUUGCUCCUGAUUUCUUUUUUCCCACAAGUACUGUAACUACUUGUGGCUUAGCGCAAAUAUAUUAGAAAACGUUUUUUGCAAACCUAUACAUGCUCUCUACUACCCCUAGGAACCAUGUAAGCAAUCGUACAUUGGCGAUGACUUUCCUCUGGUGUAUCAUACCGUACCAUGUCUCCUGCGACUUAUGUUUAUAAUUUGAAUCAACCCCAAAAGAAAAGUACUCUGCUUAUCGUGAUUUGUAGCUGCAUAAUAUUGUUGAAAUAAUGGUUCUAUACAGAUAAGAAAUGGAAAAGAUAGUCAUUCAAACCCAACCAGCCAAGGUUAGAAAGAGGCUAUUUAAGAGAUAGGGUUGGGUUAAACAACACGAAGAAUCUCCCUAACAUCUCGAGUAUCCUGGUUUAUAAAAUACUCAUGCCAAAUGAUGUUAGGGUUUAAAAUGAAUCAAAAUCGUUUAAUUCCAAAAAGCUUAUGACAUAACGAGUUACGAAUCAUAGAUUGGCUCCAAUCCAUUAUGACCACUAGUUUAUUGUUUUUUCCAAAACGGUCUUAGCCCAGCUAAAUAAAGAGAACGUUAAUAGUAAGCGUCAACGUUAGUCAACUGUUGUUUUUAUGUCCGUUUUCGUGUAAAUCGAUUCUACAACUCGCGAUCGGUCGACUACGUGGUUAUUUAUAGACCGACAGCAGCGUCGUGACGCUCGCUAACGUCACGUUACGGCCCGUUUCGACACCGUCUCGCACACCAAAAAUGGUCAAUUUUCGAAACGUCAAAACCAAACUUUUUUUUUACUCGGAAAUUAACUCCUACCAUAUUUAGAACUGUCGCCUUUUUCACCUUCGUUAAGGUGUUUAUUUAUAAGAAAAAUCCUGAUUGAAAAUUGUUUUAAUUCAUUACCUAAGUCAUUCAGGUGUCUUUAAAAGAACCCACGCUAUUGGCCAAGUUCAUUUCGGGUAACCUUCACUUUAAGGUCCUUGCGUAGGGAGAAAUUUGCGCAAU